UAGGGAAUCUUCCGCAAUGGGCGAAAGCCUGACGGAGCAACGCCGCGUGAGUGAUGAAGGUCUUCGGAUCGUAAAACUCUGUUAUUAGGGAAGAACAAAUGUGUAAGUAACUAUGCACGUCUUGACGGUACCUAAUCAGAAAGCCACGGCUAACUACGUGCCAGCAGCCGCGGUAAUACGUAGGUGGCAAGCGUUAUCCGGAAUUAUUGGGCGUAAAGCGCGCGUAGGCGGUUUUUUAAGUCUGAUGUGAAAGCCCACGGCUCAACCGUGGAGGGUCAUUGGAAACUUGAAAACUUGAGUGCAGAAGAGGAAAGUGGAAUUCCAUGUGUAGCGGUGAAAUGCGCAGAGAUAUGGAGGAACACCAGUGGCGAAGGCGACUUUCUGGUCUGUAACUGACGCUGAUGUGCGAAAGCGUGGGGAUCAAACAGG
rnacentral:rRNA from 1 species